rnacentral:rRNA from 1 species
AUUGAACGCUGGCGGCAUGCUCUACACAUGCAAGUCGAACGGUAACAGGCCGCAAGGUGCUGACGAGUGGCGAACGGGUGAGUAAUGCAUCGGAACGUGCCCAGUCGUGGGGAUAACUAACCGAAAGAGUAGCUUAUACCGCAAUCGAACUUUUGAUUAAAGCGGGGGACCGGAAGGCCCUGGCCCAAUUGGGCGGCCGAUGUCCGAUUAGGUAGUUGGUGGGGUAAAGGCUCACCAAGCCAACGAUCUGUAGCUGGUCUGAGAGGACGACCAGCCACACUGGGACUGAGACACGGCCCAGACUCCUACGGGAGGCAGCAGUGGGGAAUUUUGGACAAUGGGCGCAAGCCUGAUCCAGCAAUGCCGCGUGCAGGAAGAAGGCCUUCGGGUUGUAAACUGCUUUUGUACGGAACGAAACGGCUCUGGUUAAUACCCGGGGCUAAUGACGGUACCGUAAGAAUAAGCACCGGCUAACUACGUG